GCCGAAGUGGUGGAACUGGUAGACACGCCAGACUCAAAAUCUGGUGUCUUUGCGGACGUGCCGGUUCGACUCCGGCCUUCGGUACCA
rnacentral:tRNA from 1 species